UAGCUAAUACCGCAUAACGUCGCAAGACCAAAGAGGGGGACCUUCGGGCCUCUUGCCAUCGGAUGUGCCCAGAUGGGAUUAGCUAGUAGGUGGGGUAACGGCUCACCUAGGCGACGAUCCCUAGCUGGUCUGAGAGGAUGACCAGCCACACUGGAACUGAGACACGGUCCAGACUCCUACGGGAGGCAGCAGUGGGGAAUAUUGCACAAUGGGCGCAAGCCUGAUGCAGCCAUGCCGCGUGUAUGAAGAAGGCCUUCGGGUUGUAAAGUACUUUCAGCGGGGAGGAAGGGAGUAAAGUUAAUACCUUUGCUCAUUGACGUUACCCGCAGAAGAAGCACCGGCUAACUCCGUGCCAGCAGCCGCGGUAAUACGGAGGGUGCAAGCGUUAAUCGGAAUUACUGGGCGUAAAGCGCACGCAGGCGGUUUGUUAAGUCAGAUGUGAAAUCCCCGGGCUCAACCUGGGAACUGCAUCUGAUACUGGCAAGCUUGAGUCUCGUAGAGGGGGGUAGAAUUCCAGGUGUAGCGGUGAAAUGCGUAGAGAUCUGGAGGAAUACCGGUGGCGAAGGCGGCCCCCUGGACGAAGACUGACGCUCAGGUGCGAAAGCGUGGGGAGCAAACAGGAUU
rnacentral:rRNA from 1 species